GAUGAACGCUGGCGGCGUGCUUAACACAUGCAAGUCGAACGAUGAAGCCCAGCUUGCUGGGUGGAUUAGUGGCGAACGGGUGAGUAACACGUGAGCAACCUGCCCCUGACUCUGGGAUAAGCGCUGGAAACGGUGUCUAAUACUGGAUAUGAGCUCCUGCCGCAUGGUGGGGGUUGGAAAGAUUUUUCGGUUGGGGAUGGGCUCGCGGCCUAUCAGCUUGUUGGUGAGGUAAUGGCUCACCAAGGCGUCGACGGGUAGCCGGCCUGAGAGGGUGACCGGCCACACUGGGACUGAGACACGGCCCAGACUCCUACGGGAGGCAGCAGUGGGGAAUAUUGCACAAUGGGCGGAAGCCUGAUGCAGCAACGCCGCGUGAGGGAUGACGGCCUUCGGGUUGUAAACCUCUUUUAGCAGGGAAGAAGCGUGGGUGACGGUACCUGCAGAAAAAGCACCGGCUAACUACGUGCCAGCCGCCGCCGUAACAC
rnacentral:rRNA from 1 species